rnacentral:rRNA from 1 species
GUGGACGCCAGUCUGCAUGGAGCCGACCUUGAAAUACCACCCUUUAAUGUUUGAUGUUCUAACGUGGACCCGUGAUCCGGGUUGCGGACAGUGUCUGGUGGGUAGUUUGACUGGGGCGGUCUCCUCCUAAAGAGUAACGGAGGAGCACGAAGGUUGGCUAAUCCUGGUCGGACAUCAGGAGGUUAGUGCAAUGGCAUAAGCCAGCUUGACUGCGAGCGUGACGGCGCGAGCAGGUGCGAAAGCAGGUCAUAGUGAUCCGGUGGUUCUGAAUGGAAGGGCCAUCGCUCAACGGAUAAAAGGUACUCCGGGGAUAACAGGCUGAUACCGCCCAAGAGUUCAUAUCGACGGCGGUGUUUGGCACCUCGAUGUCGGCUCAUCACAUCCUGGGGCUGAAGUAGGUCCCAAGGGUAUGGCUGUUCGCCAUUUAAAGUGGUACGCGAGCUGGGUUUAGAACGUCGUGAGACAGUUCGGUCCCUAUCUGCCGUGGGCGCUGGAGAACUGAGGGGGGCUGCUCCUAGU